UCGGAUUAUUGGGCGUAAGCGUGCGUAGGCGGUUUUGUAAGUCAGAGGUGAAGCCCCGGGCUCACCUGGGAACUGCCUUUGAUACUGCAAGGCUUGAGUGUGGUAGAGGGGGGUGGAAUUCCUAGUGUAGCGGUGAAAUGCGUAGAUAUUAGGAGGAACACCAAUGGCGAAGGCAACUUCCUGGACUAUUACUGACGCUGAUGUACGAAAGCGUGGGGAGCAAACAGGAUUAGAUACCCUGGUAGUCCACGCCGUAAACGAUGUCAACUAGUUGUUGGGGUUUUUGAUUCUUAGGUGGCGCAACUAACGCAUUAAAUUCACCGCCGGGGGAGUACGGCCGCAAGGUUAAAACUCAUGGAAUUUGGCGGG
rnacentral:rRNA from 1 species